rnacentral:rRNA from 1 species
GACGAACGCUGGCGGCGUGCCUAAUACAUGCAAGUUGAGCGCUGAAGGUUGGUACUUGUACCAACUGGAUGAGCAGCGAACGGGUGAGUAACGCGUGGGUAAUCUGCCUUUGAGCGGGGGACAACAUUUGGAAACGAAUGCUAAUACCGCAUAACAACUUUAAACACAAGUUUUAAGUUUGAAAGAUGCAAUUGCAUCACUCAAAGAUGAUCCCGCGUUGUAUUAGCUAGUUGGUGAGGUAAAGGCUCACCAAGGCGAUGAUACAUAGCCGACCUGAGAGGGUGAUCGGCCACAUUGGGACUGAGACACGGCCCAAACUCCUACGGGAGGCAGCAGUAGGGAAUCUUCGGCAAGGGACGAAAGUCUGACCGAGCAACGCCGCGUGAGUGAAGAAGGUUUUCGGAUCGUAAAACUCUGUUGGUAGAGAAGAACGGUGGUGAGAGUGGAAAGCUCAUACAGUGACGGUAACUACCCAGAAAGGGACGGCUAACUACGUG